CGGUUCCUAAUAGGAAUAAUGACAAGGAUAAAGUACAAGAAGCUCUUUCGUAGAGGAGCAUAAUAAGCACAAUUCUCGUCCUAGCUUUAAAGUCCACUUUUGGCAUGGCCAAGCAAGAGGAGUUCAAAGAAUGGUUGUCACGCAUGACCUGCGAAAGGAAGAUAAUGUCAGUAUAUGAAUGAAAAAUUGAUCUUUCAAUAAAGCCGCCUCUUACAAUGAAAUCAAGGCGACGAUACCUUCUUCGUAGUAUCCACUUACGAGAAUUUGGUAUUUCGUCAAGAUUUUAUUAGUAAGAGGUGAUUUCAUUAAAA
rnacentral:lncRNA from 1 species